rnacentral:ribozyme from 1 species
UGCCCAGCGACUCCUAUCCCUACCUCCACGCGGUACCGGCCGGAAACUAUGAGCAACCUUAGGGAAGA